rnacentral:tRNA from 1 species
UGGCUUAGACAGUAAAGAAUCUGCCUUCAGUGCAGGAGACCCAGGUUCAAUCCCUGG